rnacentral:ncRNA from 1 species
UGGUCCUAGCCUUUAAAUCAACUUUUACUUAACUUACACAUGCAAGUAUCAGCACCCCCGUGAAAACGCCCUUUUAACCCCAAUAGGGAUAAGGAGCUGGUAUCAGGCCCAAUUUUAGCCCAAGACACCUAGCUACGCCACACCCACAAGGGAACUCAGCAGUGAUUAACAUUGACAAUAAGCGCAAGCUUGACUCAGUUAAAGUAGAACAGAGCCGGCAAAUACCAGUGCCAGCCGCCGCGGCUACACCACGAGGCUCAAGUUGAUCUCUAACGGCGUAAAGCGUGAUUAAAGCUAACUUAAACUGUAGUUAAACAAAAGCUAAGCUGUAAUACGCUUGCUUCAUCGAAAACCAAAAACGAAAGUUACUACAACACACUCAACUUGAACUCACGACAGCUAGGAAACAAACUGGGAUUAGAUACCCCACUAUGCCUAGCCGUAAACCUUAACUUACACCCAAAUCGCCAGGGAACUACGAGCAAAGCUUAAAACCCAAAGGACUUGACGGUACCCCACAUCCACCUAGAGGAGCCUGUCCUAUAAUCGAUAAUCCCCGUUUAACCUCACCACUCUUAGCCUAUCAGCCUGUAUACCUCCGUCGUCAGCUUACCUCGUGAGCGAUUCUCAGUGAGCUUGAUGCCCACUCGGCUAAACGUCAGGUCAAGGUGCAGCUUACGGAGUGGGAAGAGAUGGGCUACACUUUCUAAAUUAGAAAACACGAAAGACUAUUCAUGAAAUCUAGUCAGAAGGCGGAUUUAGUAGUAAAAAGAGACAAUAAUGCUCUUUUUAACUUGGCACUGGGGUGUGUACACACCGCCCGUCACCCUCUUCAAACCCGAUAUAUUAGUAUUUAACCAAUUAAGGAAAAGUAGAAGAGGCAAGUCGUAACAUGGUAAGUAUACCGGAAGGUGUGCUUGGAAA